rnacentral:rRNA from 1 species
GAUCCUGGCUCAGGAUGAACGCUAGCUACAGGCUUAACACAUGCAAGUCGAGGGGCAUCGGGAAGAAAGCUUGCUUUCUUUGCUGGCGACCGGCGCACGGGUGAGUAACACGUAUCCAACCUGCCCUUUACUCGGGGAUAGCCUUUCGAAAGAAAGAUUAAUACCCGAUGGGAUAAUUAUUCCGCAUGGUUUGAUUAUUAAAGGAUUCCGGUAAAGGAUGGGGAUGCGUCCCAUUAGGUUGUUGGUGAGGUAACGGCUC